UUAUCCAGCCCUACAAUUAAUCUCCAGCAGCACUGGAUUUUACUGGUAAUUGCAUACCUUGUGCAGUCAUUUUUUUCUUGCUUGUAAAUACCAUUCAUUUUAACCUGCACAUUCCUUUUAACACCAAUUUUCUUGAAUUUUAGUAGGUUUUCACAAUGAAGUAUAAAUUUCACUGCUAGAUAUACAUAGACACAACAAAUUUAUGGCAGUACUUUUCCCUAAAUCCUAGUCAUUUAAAUGAAAGUAGCUGUUUAAGUUGGUUUUACUGUGCUCGGGCAGGAUGUGCUACAAUGCCAUGUGGGAUUCUUUGUAUACUGAUAUAUAUACUGUUUGAAUCUUUAAAAAUCUGGAUUCUUUAAGAGAUUAGUAUCAGGACUGCAUUUUUCAGUUUCCAUGGCAAAAGGACAUGUUUGUUUUGGAUUGCUUUUUAAUAGCAUUUUUGUGUAACUAAUUGCAUCUUGGCAUGUUACAGGGUAAACUAAUGUUGCUGCUUCAAAUCCACGAGUCAACAAGUAAACAGAAGUAUAUUCACUGUACAUACUAGACUGUCUGUCUAUACAACCAAAAGGACUAAAAAAUUCUCUUAAAUAACAGUUACAUAAAGUCCAAACUCCUUCCCCUUCGUGUUCUUAUGUUUAUGGCAGCCUAAUGUAAAGUUGGCAUUGUCACAGAACUACAAAUAAUGUAAGUUCCAAGUGUAGUGAAGUAAUAUGUGCAUAUCUUUAAUAUAUAUAGAAAUUUUGAAUAUUGCAAUUCUCCCCCUCCCCCAAUUGACCAACCAUUAGAAAAACGCAUUAGAUUAUGAAAAUCUGUAGUCAGCUGUUAACCGUAACAUAUAAGAUUAGGGAUUAGAAGAAAUAAAUUGAUACUUUGAAAAAACAUAGACAUACAUCAUGCUGGAAAUGAAAAUUACUUAUACAGCUAGUCCUAUAUUGCAAGACUCAGACUACCUUUUGUGACCUGUGGCGUGUCACUUCUGGAAGAGCUGAAGAUUUUUAAGGAUGCUAGAGUAAUAGAUGUAAGUAAUGCCAAUAAAAGUAUUCAUGGCCUUAACACCUUAUCUAAGUGCAUUAUCAGAAGCACCUCUGGAAGCAUGUGUAACUCUGCCGAUCUCAUGUCUUGUGUUGUAGUGUGCACAAGGGCGGUCUGCCAAAAUAGCCAAAGGGCUGGAAAGUUUAAAAAAAUAAAUGAAAGUAACCCUAUUCUCUACCCAUGUGGCUCUGUUUACCCACAGGCAGAUCUGCACAAACAGAUCUUCCUAAGCCAGAGCAGAGCUGAGCAAGGUUUUUCCGAUUGUAUCAGGAUCUGCCGCUUUCUUCCAGUUACUUUCUUGAUCUGGAGGAACUUGCCCUCAAAAGCCCUCUGUGGCUUUUUUUUUUUUUUUUUUUUUUUUUAAUGUAUUUGCAAAGCUGCUCUUUCUUAAGAAAGAAAACAGACUCUUUUAUCCCUUAGUUAGUUAUAUAUCAAAAAUAGAAAGCCCAAAGUUGGUUGUAUAAAAUGCAGACUGUUCUCUUUAUGGAUGAACUGAUUUAACAUGCUUCUGGAAAUUGCACAGGAUUCUGAUCACAUACUGGUGCAAACUCAGGAGUCAUUCCCCUUUAGCCAGUGAAAUUAAGUAGGCAUAAAACUGGUUUACAUAAGAUGAAUGAUAAGGAAACCCUUGAGCGUCAUUUGUAUAGUGUAUUUACUCAGUGGUAACAGAACUUUAAUGUCAUAGUUGGACCAGUGCAUAUUACGAAUUAGUGUGCAAAUACCACCACAUUGCUGGGAGGUUUCUUGGGAGGCAGCAUGACAGUUUUUAUUUUAACAGGCAAGGCCAGGCUUUUGAUUGCAUGCUGUCCCUUUUUGCACCAUCAAACUAAGGGGAAAAAACCCCUGUUGAAAUCACUCAUUUGAUCGAGUUAAACUGAGCUUAAGAUGCCUGCUGGAAAGAUAUGAAGAUAAAUGUGCCACCAUUUUGGUCCACUGGUCCCAGGGAUGGCUAGUUACCAAACCAGUUCCCAGAGCAGCUUAAAGCAGUCUCCGAGCUGCUCUAAGCAACGAUUUCUGUCUGGCUUUAAGGCUGCGGUGGUACUCUGGAUAUGGCCUCUGCUCGCAGAAGUGUCUUCUGUGCCCAGAGCUGUGAGAGGCUCGGUCUCAGGAAGCCUUUUAAAGCCGGGAAUCCUUACUUGCCUGGGUGAGGGAAUUUGAGGGUCCUUUCACACAGGCACCACACAGCCAAGAGGCAGGCAUUGAGCCAGAGACCCUGCUUGGUGGAGCAGGCUGCUGUUACUGAGAACAGAAUGAGAUCUCUGACCUGCCCGGUAACAUCGUUUCCAUGUUCCUAAGGAUGCUGACACAAAUUUGUUGCACUGCAGUUCUCUAGCAGUAUAGUAUAACAUGGAGUCAAAGGACCAAUUCUCCUUUCAUUUACACUGAGAAGUUCCUUUGAUAUGUGUGAGGGUGCAGCAAAGGUAAAAAUGCAAAAUCUCAUUGUAGAGAGGAGGAUCCUGAACUCACAUGGUGCAGUAGGCUAGGUGGGUAGAAAGGGGCAUGACAGAGCAGAGCAAAGUUACCAAGUGGGAAAAUAUUUCAAGAAGUCAAUGUGCUGCUCUUGGUAUAGAUGAGCCAGCAGAAAAAAUGAGUUGCGUGGGUCGUCCUCAGCAGGGAAUGGGAACGUGUCGGAGGUGCAAACUGGAGCAUAACAUUCUUGUAGGUGAGGGAUGAGUGAAUGGCACUGGCUGUUUAAAGCUCGUUUAAGAAUUGCCCAGGGAAACAAGUAGACAAACAGCACUGCAGCAGUACUUUAUGUUUUUUCUUCCCUGUCUCCCUCCUGCUCCAUGGUGUAGAAGAGGAACAGGUUAGCUGGUUACAGUGGAACCUGAAUUCAGCAGUGGGAGAGGAGGAUAUGCUGCCUAAGUGCUGCCAAGCAGGAUGCAACACAGUGCCAUGCCAGUAAUACUGCUGGCAGCGUGGGGCUCUUCUCACUUUGUCAUCAGUGAAGGCUUGAUGUACUAAUGUUUAAUUAUAAUGCACUGGCCUCUGAACUUACCUCUUGUUGGUCAGGAGUGUAUAAUUAUUGCUUUGAUGAACUAUCAGUGCUGACUGGGAGUCACUUUUUUUUCCUCAGUUGCAGUUUGUUUGCUUUUGGGGGACUGUUUGUUUUAUUGAGCAAAUUCCUGGCUAAAAAUCCAAUAGAAGGCAAAGGAUAAUUAAGCAAAAGACAAUGGUGGCUUCAUUUUAUGAUGAAUGAAUUCAGGAAGGAGCAGCAGAGAGACAUGUUAAAAUAAGCUUGUAUAAAAAAGCUCUGUAAGGUUUUGAAAUAGCAUAAAAACACUGCUGCAAAAGGAGUGAGCCUGUAGAUUUCAAAGCACUAUGAAUUUAUUCCUCUGUAAAUAAAAAGGAUUUAUCUUAGUGUUAGAAUAUAUACACAUCAAUAGGCCUUUACCUGAUGACUGUUAGUAGCAUGGUAAAGAGUUAUUUGAUACUAAGUAUGAGCAUCAUUGAGGGAUUCGUAAGUAACCUCUAUAUUUGUAGUUAGUUUCAGUUUGUUUAAAAUAGCUGGGUCUUACUCUACUGGCUUCUGUUGCUACUUACAUUAACUACUGGAUCUAUAGGUCUGAGCGGGAGCUUUUCAACAACUGAAUCACUGGCAAACCUGUAAUCCUUUUACUGACUGUGCUUCAUCUCAAAACUGUCUUUGACCCCAGCCUCCGAGAAUCAUAUGCCUCUGACGUUCAUGAACUUUCUUGUGGUAGUUCAAGCUGCACAUAAGCCAGUGUAACUGAGCUGCCGCUGCCAAAUGAAAUGAUCCUAUUCCCCCAGCCAUGGUUUCACUCUGCCUCCUUUGCAUUAAAGCUAGUGAAAGUGAGGGUACAGGGUAGGUCAGACCAAGGCAAAAUCGUUCCUUUUUUCUCUUUGAUUGAUUAGGCUUGUGCUGAAAUUAAUUAAUUUUCAGUACUAACAGAUCAGUUUAAAAAUAAACACAAAACUUAUGAGCCAGAUACACUGCCAUGUUUGAUCUUCUUUAUGGAAUGUACAGUACAUGGACGUUGCUUCCCUUUCAAGAUGAUAGAUGGAAAGCCAUUAUCAUGAUUUUUCUUAGAUGAAAUGCUGAUGCAGCCUCUAGAAGCCUUCACGUGGUCUGAGCCAUGCCUCUGCACCUCUGGACACUGUAUGCUGCUGUGUCCAUAUUAAGUAAAGGGAAAAAUCAGAUCAUCACAGUUAUCUGUUCCUACUGAAAGAAAAUUGAUUUAAUUAUGAAAUUCAGAUUGUUCAUAAAGAGGUGUUCAAAUGUUCUUAUGUAUAGGUGAUUUUAGGGAAAUUAGUAUCUGGAGUGCGUUUUCUUGCAUUAAGUUUACAGCGUUUUACAUCAAGGAGAACUCCAAGGGUCUCAAUAAAGAUGAAUAUGUCAUGAUAUAUCAGCAUUUGUCUCAUUUUUUGUUACUUAGAGUGAGCACAAAUGCAUGCUCUGUAACCUUGAACUUUAGAUAUGAGCUUGCCUGUCCUCUGCAAUGGUAAAACUCCCAUAGGGCACUCCCAUAGGGAGUUAGGCAUUUGCAGGAGCUGGGUGCCCUUUACAGAGCACAAAACCUAUUUCUAAUGCACAGGUUUCAGUGUCAGACUGAGAAUGCUGCCUGCUGAUGUGUUUACAUCCUCUGAAAACCAUCCCUGAUGCAGGUGGCAAAUUCCAAAUAGUAACUGUUUCUGUUACUUCUGUUACCAGGUGUUGAAGCAACAUCAGAAGUUAGUGUAACAGAUGAGAACAGUAUCUUAUUUGAAAAGACCCUGAGUUUGGGAAGGUUUGUGGUUACUCCCACCUGCAUCAGGGAUUCUCAUUCUGGGGAAGAGGCUGGAGGAAUCUCAGCUGCAAAUGCGAUGAACUGACAAGUGUUUAUAAUCAGGGGAUUACUAUGAAUGUAUUUCUUCAGGCCUAUCAUCAACUACUCAAUUCCUACUGCACCCAGCCUCAGUUUUUUUCACAAAGUUUUGGUAAGUUUAAGCAUCAAGUAGGUUUUGAUUCAUAGGAAAGCAAAUAGGUGUGAGGGUUUUUUUUCUUUCUUUCAUAAAUCCUAAACCAGUUAAGCUGCAUUCCUGUUAGCCUGGCGUCCUUCAUGAAGAAAUAAGUAUUACACACAGUAUGUAUGCAAUUUCGUGGUAGAAAACAAUCUGAUUCUACUAGCAUCCUUUAAGUUAUGAAUCAUUAAGAAAGCUGAAGUGCUUUGUGCUGUCCUCACACUGAGACGCUCUCUGCUAGGAUGUCAUUUAUAGACUAUGAAAAAUAAGUUAAAGACCAAAUAUGUCACUUUCAUUUCAUUACUUUCAAGUGACAGCUGCAGAAUUUACUCACACAGAUAAUGUUAAUGAAUAUUUUAAUUAAUUCACAGAUGCUAACAGUUUGUGUUCAUUAGUGUCUGACUUUGGGCUUUGUUUCCUGAAAUCUUUCCACUUCUUGUACAUGCUCCUCUUACGUAGUGAGUCACCCUCUACAGUAAAUAACUCCUCCCAGUGGAUGUGCACACUGUUCUCAGAGAUGCUGGAUGAAGGGAGGGAAAGGGAUAAUGAAUUAGCUACCAGGAAAUUUUUUUAGUUUAUUUACAAGGCAGUAAUUAAAAAAUAAAACCAAACAAACCUAAAAUAGCAGCCUCCCUUAAACAAAAUCAUUCUUAUAUUCUUGAAUCUGAUUCAGAGUGGUACCUUAUGUUCACAUAUCCUUCUGAGUGUUUACAAUCUGUAGCAGUGCAUUUCAAAUACUUGUCUUGCCAUUUUCUCCCUACCAGUAAUUCGUGGAGGUAUUUAAGUAGCUUAAAUUUUAAUCCACAGCUAUUUGGAAGAAGGAUGAAUCAGUGGUCAAAAAAUGCAGCUCAUUAAUUUUACAUAAUAGCAAAAGAAUAAAUAGGUCAGUAUCCUGUGCGUUAUUUUACUAAUAGGAUAGUCUAAUUGCUGUGUAGUUAGUGUUUAUAGAGUACUUUGAAGAUGUAAUUUGGUGUACAGGGCUAAUGUUGUGUUCAUACACUUCUACAUCUAGCUAUACUUGGAAAGAAAUAAUUAACUUCAUGUGAAGUCCUUCGGGUUUCUGGUGCAUGGUGAAAGAAACCAGGAUGGGAUUCAGCUGACUAAAUGCCUAUGUGUACCUCUGAGCUACCUGGCUAGACCCUCCACUGCAAGCAGGAAAGAAAUAGCCACAUCUGAGGAAUGAUUUCUUUUGUACUCCAGUAGGUAUCUGAAAAUAGAUCAUAUGAAUCAUUUGUAUCUGCUUCUUGACUGCAAAGGAAGUUUAUGGUGGCUGGGCCUGAUGUGGACAUCUGCCUUGCAGAUAACUAAAGUUAGGUUGAGAAAGCCCUGUACCAAAAAAAUUCAGUGUUUUCUGCAGUGAUUUGGAAGUAAAUAUAAAGGGUGCUUAAAAUGAGUCAAAUGAAAGCCUAGACUGGUUGAUUGAAGGGACUGGCUCAACGUAACUUGAAGAAAUUGUGUAUGCCAUAUACAUACGUACUUGGUUCCAAGAUGUUUGAUAUAGGGAAUGAGAAAUGUUGUUACACCUCUUUUUCUUUGCCCUCCAAGUCUGUAUUCUUCUUUCUGUCAAAGGCUAGCAGAGUAAGUUCCUAGGGCACACCCAUCCAGGCUUGAAGCUGUAUCAGCCUGCCCUAGCCUUCCAGAGACUUCUGAGCUUCUCAGCCUCUUGUGCUGGUCAGUAGUGCGAGUGGUAUCUCUGAACCUGAGUCACAUUCUCACGUGGUCUGUGGUAAGGUAAACACAAAGCAAAUAUAAGACCUUCCUUCCUUCUUGGAUCUAUGGCAGGCAGAAAGCUCUCCUCAGCUUCCCCCAUGCUGAACUUAUUGUCUUCUGCCCAGAAUCCUUCCAGCUCCACAGAAACAGUUCUUCAGGUGAUCAGUGGAAUUCAUGUCUACCCAUGUUUUGGGUGCCCAACACUGAAUGGCACACUUUACCUCAAACUAAACAACCUUUUUCCUUCCAGGUACAUCUUUGCAUGUCCCGGUCUGGCUUUUCUGUAGGAAAUCUUUAUUUUCAAAUUUGUUUCUACAAAACAUUCUCCAGCUCCUUUCCCCAUGGUCUUCCAGAUGGAUCAAUGCAGGGCUGUGCUUCCGAGGGGCUCUCUUCAACCUUUUCCAAAUCUCUCUUUCCCAUUUUUUUGCUAAGAAUACAAGCAGUUGGUCCUCAUUUCCCGCUUUUCUAGUAAGCCUCACCUCCACUGGAAUAGGAACUAGCUAAUACCCUUCUCCAUGCACAGAGAAAAUUACCUGUCUGCAGCGACCAAAAGGGGAUGAAUAUAGGGACUGAUGAUAGCAUAUGCAGUUUGACAGCUCUAAGUUAUGAAUCAGAUCCUUGUGUGUUGGGAGGAACCAAAGCCUGAAUCCUCAGAAGCUAAGUAUGUAGUUAGAACAACUGAAUAGGAUAAGCAAGGAUACCUGUCUUUAUUCCAUAACCUUCCCUCCUCUGCUUCCCAGUUUCAUGGCUACUUGGAUAGUUUUGAUGUAAAGUUAUUCUUCGAUCAUUAUUAUUAUUACUACUACUACUAUUAUCAUUAUCAUCUUAUUUUCUCUUUUAUGAGUGUCUUUUAGUGGCAUGGCAUGGCAUGGCAUGCACAGUCACUACCAUUUGUCACACACUGUCCUGACCAAGGAGAAAACAGUGCAGUGCAGUCAUAGCAUUCCUUGCUUAAACUUUAGUGGGUCCCCUGUAUGUGCCUAUGUUGGAAAACGUUCACACAUGAGAAACUAGGGAUGUAAAAAUUGUGCCUUUCAUAAGGAAAGACUUCUAAUUGUCCUUGGUUUUGUCAAAAAUGUAUUUCUACUUCCUCGGGUCCUGAGAAAGUUCUCUGUCUUACAUAUGUGAACGUGCAGGAAGCUCUGGGAUUCCUGAGUUAUGGAAUUGAGAUUUCUUUUUUCAUCUACUGACAACCUUUCAGAUUUCCUCUGACAAGCUUUAAAGUAUUUUCAAGACCUAGAAACUGGCUCACAGUGGGAAAUAAAUUCCUCAGUUCACAUGCUAAGCAUCCGCCAACUCUGUAUUCACAUUUUUGUGCACAGUUUUACUUAAUCUCUUACUAACUGACUGCUCUUCAUUGUUGUGCCUUCCUCCCUCCGCACGGUAGAGUGCCCCACGUGUUCAGGGAAUGUUGUGAGGCAACUGAUAUAAAGACUCCUAUUGUAUGAAGUUGGGAAAAUUAGCAUCUCUUGCUAGACAAUUCACUGCUGAGAGGUUAAUAAGAUAGCAAAGGCUUGAAACAUGUAGUAAGGGGGGAAAAAGACCCGGGGAUUCAUGGCUGAAAUCUGUUUCCAAAAGGACAUUACUUCUAUUUGUUGUACUCUUAAGGCUUGAACUAUGUCUGCAAUAAGGAGACCAAAGUAAUAGUUGGAAUCUGGUUACUUUUGAAAAGUUAUUUCUGUUUCGUAAAACACAUACGCAAAGACAAAUGCAGCAAAAGGGAAGACCAUAGUUAAAUUGCAUCAUACGAGGAGGUCAUGGCUCUGCAGACGCUCCCAUGCUGUACUGCAUCACACCAAUGAGGUUACCUACAGCCCCUCUGCUGCCCCAGCAUCUGUAGAUCUUCACUUGAUUAGGCACAGGACUUCCACGGGAUUUAAGCAUAGGUAUAGCACUGAGGAUGUUAAGGGUCUUGGGGAUUCAGAACUCAGAAAUGCACUUGAUCACACACGCUUUCCGGCCAGUGAGAGUUUUGUGUACUUAGUGACUAUGCUUCGGUAGGCAGCUACUGCUAUCUGCAGAACAGGGCCAUGCGAGUUCCUGGUCCCACCCACCUCAUGAAAAUCGAGUGAAACUUUUCCUCCCGGUGUUGAAACAUUGCAUGCAGAAACCUUUCCAGGGCAGGCGCGGGUGGGGCCCUGGGGCUGCAGUCAGGCGCGCUGCACCCGGCAGGUAGGCAGAGAAUGCUUUUACAAUUUGCUGUUCUCCCUUACUACCCAAGCAUAAAAGCAACCCAGAUUAAGCUACUGCUUUGAUCUUGCUCAUUCUUUCUUACACGUGUUGAAUAGGUUACAUACAACUUCAAUAAAUAAGAGAGGGGGAAAAAGGAAAUGGCAAUUCAUGUGUUUUGUACCCGUUCAAACGGAUUAGAGCAAGACAAUCUAGAGCAGUGCUUUCCAAAUAACCACAAAUUAAUCCCUCUCUCUAUGGCACAUUUACUAUUUUUAUCAUCAAACAGUGUCAAAUUGCAUCUCUUAAUAGCCAUUUCAGCCAGUUGAACUACAGCUGCAAUGUGCCAUUUCAGAUUUAUGUGAAACUAAAUAGACAUGCUUGUGUAUUCUUAUAGCUGUGGUCAAGAAUGUGGCACUCCAUUGCUCUAGGUGCUGAACUAUGCAUUUUUUCAAAGUGAUUGAACAGACCAAAGGCAGUGAAAGAAGUGUAUCUGCUUAAUGCCCAUGUGAAAUUGUUUGAAAUGCUUGAGGAAAAUAUAUUCUUAACGGGAUAUAUUGAUUAUGUGAUUGGUUUUAUUAGAAUUAGUUUUUAAAACAUUAGAUUUACCACAGGUGUCUGUGCCUUAUGCACGUUCUAGACCUGGGGAGAGCAAGAUGGUAAUGCUUGCACUGUGGCAAUCUUCAGAAUAUAGAAGAUCAUAAAAUCCUGGCUGUCCAGGAGGCAGGAAGCAUGCUGAAGUGUUCCUGCUGUGAUGUAGCAAGGUCUUAGGCAGCUGUCUUGUGUUCACUGUACAUCUACAGCCAGGUGUAUCAGCAGAGUGGCAUUGGCUAAACAGGGAGCUUGGUGGAGCUCCGAUGCAAAAAGGCAGCAUAAAGGAGAUGGAAGCAGGGAUGGACUACAGUGAAAUAAUUUCAAAACAUUGCCUGAGUUUGUAGGGGUAGCUGCAGGAGAUCCAAAGCCUAAAUGCACUUGAGCCUUGCACGGGAAGUGCAACAAGAAGAGCUUCCACUGCUGUGUUAGUAUAAAAAGGCUGAGCAAGGAAAACAUGGAAUCAUUGCUGAAUGGAGCAGGUGACGUAGUAAUAGCAGACACAGAUAAAGCUGAGGUAUUCUAAGGUUUCUUUGCCAUCUUUACCAACAAGCUAUCCUAUUCCUGUGUGCUUCAGGGAAGGGUUCAAAGAGAACUACCAGCAGCAUGUGAAUGUUCAGUCACAGAUUUCUUGAGAGAGUUUGACCAGAAAACUCCAUGGGACCAAACAGACCACAUCCAAGGUGCCAAGAAAACUGGUUUGAUGUCUCUGCAGGCCCACUCGAUCACAUUGGAAAGGUUAUGGAGAUCAUGGAAUGUUCCUAAAGGCUGGAAACAGCCUGUUCCCCUGCCAUUCUGACAUGAUCUCAGAGACCUGUGGAAUACAGUGGCUUCAGUGAGGAAUCAGACUGACACUGUUCAAACUCUGCUGCACACUUUCUGAACAGAGCCAGAACCAAACAACUUUUAGCACUUUCUUCAGCGCUUUUUGCAAAAGAAUCCCCAACGAAUCAGGAGGCAUCUACCUGCCCUGGAAUGUUUAUGAGCUAAUCCAGCAAAAAUGGAAGGCAAGGGUAUGAGGAAGAUGAGAGAGAAGAGAACACAAUAAACAAAGAAGGAUCCACAGGAAAACAGAGAAAGCUUGCAGACCUCCUUCCUAGCCCAGAGGUGGAAAAUCAAGUCCUCUGAAGUUGGGAAAUGCCAGAUAUUUGUCUGUCUGGCCAACCCAAAUUCAGCCCGGUGCUGGUGUGUUCUGCUACGGUCUGCCAUUGCCUUCAUCAUGGGCUCUUUCUUCCCCACGGCCCUGAUUCAUGUGAAAUUAGAUCUGGUUACAAAAUCAACACUUCGAAAUCAGGAAGUACCAAACCUGGGGUUUCCCAAGCAUCCUUCACUCUGCAACACUGCACGCCUGCCCUUCUCCAUUUCAUGCCUAGCCUGAGCACAAAGUGUCAAAAUUUAGGCUAUCUGGGCAAAUGCAAAUCUGUUAUUGCCUAACUUCUGCAAGUUUGAUUUUGCCAGUGUUGCAAUCUCUUAAUGCUCUUUCUUUGGUAAGUAAUAACCAGUGUAGAAAAACUCCCAUUGAGUCCAAAAAUCUGAAAGGAUCAGCAAUGUGAAUGACUUUUGGGCUACCAAUACAGCAUUACUGCACUCAAUGGAUCGCUUCAUCCAUUCAUAUGUACCUGUCACUUUUUGAGUACUUAAAUCAGAAGCUAGUAUAAAUGCCAAGGCAUAGGAAGGAGUAAAGCAAAUAAUGUGUGGGCUGUAAGCAGAAAUUCACCCUUUGUCCUUAACAGUAGAGCAGAACUAUAAGAAAACUGGCAGAUAUUUUAAAAUCAAUAGGAAGAUAACCCCUCCAGCCCCCAAACCAAAUUACGAAGUUUUAAAAAACAACUUCUGCCAUAAAGAAGCUAAAUAUUAUAGACACUAUUUUUAUUUUGAGUCUUGCACCAGGCUGCUGAGCUGAGGCUUGGCAAACCUACACCUUGUUUUGGGUUUUGUUCCUGACCUGCUGCAUAACGCAAGCAGACCCAGACAUUCAGUGUUUUGCUUAGUUACCAAGUAGGCUUUUACGGCAGAUUGUCCCUUUCCUAUAAAUUUUCCUUCAUGUGGACGUCUACUCCUAAGACUAAUCCAAUAUGUUACAAGUUUUCAGCACUAAUUUAUUUUCCUUUUCCACAAGUAAUCUUUUUCUGACGUUCUGUGUAUUGCAGUGCCAGUGGAGGUGAACAGAUGCAGCUGAAUUGUUGAGACACAGCCGAUCCCAAAUGGCUCUUGUUCAUUGUAACACACUGACUAAAUAUGACAAAUUUUUCUGCAUCAGCAGUGCUUUGCUGGGUCUGAGUGUGUUGACCCCUUCUCAGUAAAAACUUUUUGAUGCAAGUGCCCAAAGGCAUAUGAGUAACUAUAAACUACUGCUUAAAAAUUACUUGAGUUUUGAGAAGAUAUUACUGUAAAAUAUUUCUUUGUCUGAAGCAGCACAUGGCACUUGACAUUUUCAGACUAAAUGUGCCUAAGCACCAUUUUGAUAUAUUUGAGUAUUAAAGAUUCAGCUUAGUACCUCCAUAAGGAAAAUUGUUAGGAGGGGUUUUUUGUUCACCACAGUAUCCUCAGUUGGUUUAUUUGUUAUUUCAGCAAAAUGAGUGCACCCCUGUGUUAUUCUGGGGAUACAUCCACUCCUGGGACUGGGUGCAGAAUACACACCAAGCACACAGGGUAUUGCAUUUUUGCUGUGUAAAAGGGAUGAGGCUUUACCCAGACACUUGUCUUAUGCUUCAAAGCAACUCUUAAAAAUUGUGUCUUUAGUCCCUUCAGCUGGCAUGUUUGGUACAAGAUUAAAGUCGGUAGUUUCCUUCCUUGGAGAAACAUAUACUAUGGCAGGAGAGGUAGCACUGCUUCCAGUACGUGUAAUGGGUACCACAUGCAUAAAAUCUCUGUGUGACUUUUACUAAACCAUCAUUUAAAGUGAAGUUGGCUCUGAAGUUACAUCCCCUCAGGAAGUGCAGGUGGAAAGCCUGUGACACCGUUAUUCUACUUAAUUGAGGUAAAUAAAACCUUGUAAUCAUCAGUCCAGUAACACGGCUGGCUGAUCUCACAGAGUGUCAAGGAUAUGUUGAUGUCUUCAGCCUUGAACAACCCUUCCUUGUCAGGUUUAUUACCUGUUUUGCUCUUACAUUCAGGAGCUGAAAAAAAUUGAUUAGUUAUUAAGGUGUCUCCUUCUAUCUUGGAAAGCUCCUAUAAAAAUUGCUCAGGUGAUUCUCACUUCCCCUGAACACCUCUAGUAGACUGUCCAGUGAACUAGGAGUCCAAUAGGAAACAAGAGCAGGUUUAGAUAAAUUUGUUUUCAAUUUGAUAUUCUUCAGCCUCUCGAGCUUCUAUGUUAAACAAAAAAUAUGAUUCAAUCCUGAUAUGGUUAAAACACAGCAUCACAGUCUGUGUGCACGGCCAGCUUCUUCAUACCUUGUCCCCAACAGUUUGACCUGUGGGGCUACCUCUGUUAUUUGCAGCAUUUUCUUUUCUUUCCUUUCCUUUCCUUUCCGUGCCUUUGCCUUUGCCUUUUUGCCUUCCUUUUCCCUUUCCCUUUCCCUUUCCCUUUCCCUUUCCCUUUCCCUUUCCCUUUCCCUUUCCCUUUCCCUUUCCCUUUCCCUUUCCCUUUCCCUUUCCCUUUCCCUUUCCCUUCCCCUUCCCCUUCCCCUUCCCCUUCCCCUUUCCCUUUCCCUUCCCCUUUCCCUUCCCCUUCCCCUUCCCUUUCCCCUUCCCUCUUCCUUUCCCUUUUUUAACACUAUGGGUCUUUUAUGAGUUGAUUCAAAAUUAUUUGCCCGUAACUACUACGACAAACUUCAACCCUUGCAGGCCAAACAUAUGAGAAAGAUUGCUUCAGUAAGCUCUCUGUAAGCUUGAUCAAAGCCUGCUAAAAUCGAACUUGUAGAGCAGUUUGGUCCGGAGCUGAGUUGCAGAAAACUGCACUUUUCCCAGAAGGCUGCCGUUCCAGUAUAUGAAGAUCUGGAUUAUCUCUCUUGGGAAGAAAAAAAAGGAAGGUAAGUUUCAUCAUGCCAUGUUAUGUAACAGCUUUCCCACGUUAUAUAGUGAUUUUACACUAAAAAUGAGCACUUUUAAAAAUAAUUCAUGGAAUGAGACUGAAGCACAAGAGCUGACAGAUGCAGCAUUAUGAGGAGGGCUGAGAGGAGCAGGUCUGUCUGCAGGCGCUGCACCUCCUUUCACUCAGGAAGUAAAUGUUAAAACCACCUGAAUGGGUAAUUAAAGUGCACUGUAGUGUUUUAAUAUGUAAUAUGUAUUUUAAUGAGGGGUGUUCUUAUUCUGGUAUUUCUAUAGAUAGGAUGGACUGCACAGAAAAAAAAAGAAAACUAUUGUCAAAAUGUGGUUUAAUGGAUGCUGUUGAAAGUGGGAUUUCUGUUUUAGAUGUGAUUGCUAUUGUUUAUCAGUGCUUACACCUCAACUCAUUAGGUGAGGAGAUGAUAAGAUGUUGGCACACUUGCUCGUCAAAAAACUUCUUCUUUCAUUUCCACAGGCAUAUGCUUUUGGCCUGCAGCUCACUAAAUCUGUUGGGUACGGCACUUUUUUUGAAUAUUUGAUGUGGGUUUGUGGUAACUGCAGUAGAGAAUUAAGAGGCACAAGCUCUGCAAAUAUGUUCAAAUUGUCAAUGGAUCUUUCUUUGCUGGUUUCCCUUCACUUUUUUAUCAAUUUCUCCUGAUCUCUACUUCUUGCAACAUCUAUAGUUAUGAUGUAAAAAUUCAGGAAAUAUUUUUUCCACUAUCUGUUCUGUAUUCCAUCUCUUAGUUUCAUCUUGAAGUAAUACUGCGUAUCUGUUAUGUUUACAUUUUUUUAGUAUGUCUUAUACAAUUUUUGUAGCUACAGUAGAUGAAAUCAUUAUUUUAUUAUAUCCAUUAGGUAUCUUCUUAAUAAGUAUGAGUUUCAGCUCUUCCUUUAACAUACUAUCUACACAGUAAAAUAUGUGCUAGUAAGUAGCUGUAUGUAUCAAAAGACAAUAGUUUCAGGCUUUAAGUCUGCCUCUACCUGCAUCGCAGGAUUGUACAGAUGUGGUCCUGCUAGAUUUGUGUAGAGAAAUACUUUUGACAAAAGAGAUACCAUUUUUUGAGUGUGUUAAUAAGAGGAGGGAACAAUUUCUGCUGCAGAAAUUCUGAGUUCUAGCCUCAGUAGCAGAACUGGUUAUCUACAGAAACACUGAUCAGUUUAUUUCUGUCGCACAUUAGUCUUCUUCCAGUAACUGUAAUAUAUAUUAUUUUUUCCCUGUUGUAUCUAUGUAAGAUAUUAGGAGCAGGUAGAAGGAAGAUGCAUAAGACUUGCUGCGUUAUCAAACCUAUCUCCUUCAAAGGGUAGAAGACAAUCCUUUUUCCUAACCGCUUGAGUUUCUUAUAGUUUAAUUGAACAAGAGCGGAGAGUACAAAGCUGAACAAAGUACACCUGAAAUUCAUUAUGCAACUGAGAUGGCAUGAUUUUCUGUGUUAGGAUUGUGAUCUUUGUCCUUUCUUCUAUUGGCAGAUGUGGCUUUUACUUGCAUGAAUCCUAGGCAUAUGUAUGGUGUCUGGUUAUGUAUUUAUUUUGUUUAUUAAUUGUUUUUAACAACAAUUAAUUACACUGGUCCCCGUGCUUGCUUAUUAAAAAUGUAAACAAAGCUGUGGAACUCAAUGAGAUUCCUCAGGUGCUUAAAACCAAGCAUUUGACAUUCUUUUCAGAAUCAAGUCCUUAGUCCUUUUCCUUGCAUCCUGUUCUGGUAUAGCAAUUUUUGACACUUAAACUCACCUUCCUUCACCAGACAAUAUGUGUGAAGAGUAUAUUUCUGCCAUAAGACCAUGUUUUUAUGGCAAUGAUAAAUCCCUGAAAAGGAGUUUGUAAUGGAAAUACUGACUACUCCUUAAAUGACUAGAAAACUGAAGGCUAGGCAACACUUAACAAAAACAAGGGCAUAUUUUAAAAUUAGACCUACUAUUCCUACCUUUAAUAAGGACUGGAGGAAAUUAAAUGGUUCAGCUUCAACCUGGAGGCAAAGCCAGGAUGCUGACUGUAUUGCACCGGGCACAAACGUGGUCUGAGAUCUUAGAUAUAUAUUCAACUUUCCAAAGAUCUUACAAUCUACCUAGUAUCAGGCAGUCAGGGGAAUCUUUGAGGGAAAAACAAAGUGCCACAGGAAGUGGCAUUGUGAUUCAGAAGAUGACAUUCUUCACCCUGAGUCACUCACGCCCUGCUGGGGGGCUCUCCUGCAGGUAAAUCCCAGCACUGAGGCUCUGAGUCCUCACCGCUCCACUCAGUAAAAUAUUGGAUGACACUUGUCACAAGGAUAGCAGCAUCUAUCCUGGCUUUUGGCUAUAUUACAGACCGGGUAAUUACUUUAAAGUUCUGGCUGCUUUAAUUGCCUAUGGUUCUUUCUUCGUUACUUCCUUCCCCUUGGUCUGUGUAGGUUGCUGGCACUGUUACAAUAGCUGAUGUGUUUGAUGUGUUUCUAGGGGUGACUGGCUUUGCUUGAUGCCCAAGGGGGCCUGGCUGGAUUUCAGUGAUUUCUGAGUUGCUGCUUCUGCAUUGUGCCUUUGUAGCCUGGGAUGCCGCUGAAACAAAAGCUGAAGUGCCUUUCCUGUUUGGAAAGAGCCCAACCUGCUGGGGAUCGUAUCCAAACAAGAAUACUGCUAGCCUGUGGAACACUGGAAAUUUGUGCUAUGUCAGUAAAUAAAAAUAAUCUUUACGUAGCAUCACAGGCACCAAAAAGUAUGAAGUACAAUAGGCAGAAGAUGCCAUUCCCACAGAGAAGACAUACUUGGCUUGAGUCAGUUAUUAUAUUUUAUUUCUACUGCGUAUUUGAACACUACCAGAAAAUUGUCAGCCACAUGUAUCUACAUCAGGAGCACUUAGCACGUACUUAUAAAGAAUAAGCAAUUACUCUACUCCUUUGCAAUUUAUUUUUAAAAUAAGGAAGGUCUGUCCUACAGUUAGGGAAUAAUAAGCAUUGCAAUUAAUGUUAAGGACCAAAGUUUGCUAGGUAAUAAAAGCACAAAUAAACUUAAUCCUCCCAAACUUCAGCUGAAUUUUUAUCUGGAAUGCCUUAAUAAUAACUGAUUUGAUUUCUUUUCAGUGGAAAUUACUUAAUCAAAUGCAAAUUUUAGAAUUACUCCGAGGCUGAGAAACCACGCAGCAAAUAUCUGCGUUCAGUGAAUUUUUAUGGUGGCUUAUAAUGGAAAAGCUGAUAGAACUUUAGCCAUCACCUUGCUAUCAAAUGCUUCUGUAAUUCCAAAUUAACAUGCCUUAUCUUAUCUGCUAGCUCGGCUGCUUGCUUUGCAUCAAUUAUGAUAUAAGAAAUGCUAGUUCCUUGGUAAUUUUAUUAAUUUUGAUGUCUGAGAGUGGGUGUUUUGAGUUUCUUCUUCUAUUCAAAGCAUAUAGCAGAAAACACUCUUACCAAUUUGUUAGAAACCUGAUCUCAGUAAGCACUGGGUGUCUUUUGACUUGGUUCUGUUGAGAUUUCAAAGAGCUGAGAGUACACAGUGACUCACAAGACACGUUGGCACCUGGCAGAAUCACAUCCUAAUCGAUCUGUGUGGUGCUGGAUGGUUUCGGUUGGCAGAGUCAUGCAGCCUAUUGCCUUUUAUUAUAUUAUACAUUCCAACCUAAGUGGUUUUGCAAGCCUUGAAGUUGGCUUUGAGCUCCAGAUUCACAUGUUUUGGAAACAUUAAUGUAAAAAUCCUUCAAGGUAUCACAUUUCCUGACUUCCAUAAUGAAAACGUGCUAACUGUAAAUUUCAUAAAAUUGUGGUGAAGGGAAAUGAAGCAGUGUUAUUAAGGUUGCAACUCAGAGCAGGUUCAAAAGCUCUGUGAGUCUUAAUGGACCUUUUGAUACAGGUGCUGUGAGUUAGGAGUCUUUUUCUAAGCCCCAAACACAACACACUUCAUGUAAAACCUAAAAGGAACACAGCUGCUAUUGCCAUACUCAGCAGUUAUUUCAUUCAGUUCUGUUUAGUAAGGGGCCAGUCUGCCCUUAGCUUUUGCCAAAACUUCCACUAAACUCCACAGACUGUUUAAGCACUCAGCAAGCAUAUCCUUUUUCUUUAUUUCCUUAGUUAUUUUUGAACAUGUACAGCCUUGUAAUGCAUGUACCUGUGCACUUCUAUGUGUCCCUUUAAUCUCUUAAUUGAGACUGGUUUUAUACAAUCCUUUGGCAGCUAUAGGACAGCUGUCUAGUUGCUCAUUUUAUGGAAAGAUUAUGAAGGAUGGGGAUGAAACUAGAUCUUAAGGCAAGAACUUAAGAAGAGCCUUACGAAUGUCUUAAGAAAUGCCAAAUUUUAAAAUGGAACCUGAGUUCCCAUUUCAGGGAUACAUUUUCUGGAGAUGGGGUUUGUCCGCAUUGCAGAGCUGAUUUCAGUUAUCCUUUUUUAGUUGACUUUAAACCCAAAUCUAUAUUAUAUCCCUACAUUAUGCAUGAUGGUGCUUUUAACUUGAGAUAUUGAUCUGCCAAGGGGGGGUCAAUCUAAGCUUCAGCUAACACAACUCUUCAGUUAUUAACAGGAUAGUAGCUGCCUCCUCUUCUUUUACUGUCUACUCAAAACUUCUCCCUUGCACCAAAAAAACCUCAAAGUUCCCUCUCAAUUCACGCAGGAGCAUUUCAGACCCACAGUUUGGCUGUCUGAAGACUGAGGACAAGUACCAUCGCCCCAAAGGGCUUCACACCACGCACAGGUGACUCCAGUCCAAACUAAACAGUUCAGGUGUCACUUCACAGUGUGGCCACCUCCAUAAGCAUGAGCUUAGAUAACAUAGAACUGAAGUCAGGUUGUUCUCCCAUAUUCUUCAAAGUGUUACUGAAAAGUCAGUGAGACUUCCAUCCUUCCAUUCUUUUCAGCACCUAUAAAAACCAAACCACAGCUCAUUUUGUGCGUUCAUUUGUGCUGGAUCAAAAUUCAAUGUUUUUCAAUAGCAAAAUUUAAGUGAGGAAUGAACACAGGAAAGUAUGUAUGCCAGGGCCUCAUCUACAGGUUGCAUAUUAAACAGUUUCUAAAUGAAAAGGUUGUUUGCUGUGCUAUGAAACAGUCAUCUUUCUGCAGACCUACAGCCCACCGGAACGAGGGGACAGGAUGGAGUGUGCCUUUUCCAGUAUUCCCCACCCACUGACCCAGAGCAUGAAACCCACAGAGUUCUUGGAACUGCAAACAGUGUUUGAAUUCAGACUAAAACUGGAAAACAGAAACUGGCUCUUUUUUUUCCCCUUUUUUUUGGUUUUUUUUUUUUUUUUUUUUGAGUCACAUCAGUCAAUGCUAUUUACAAAAUCGGUUUAUGGAGACCACAGGUGGACACUCUGACUCAUUACACAUGAAUACUAAAUAUAUCCAAGACAAUCUUGGAAAAUCCCAUGAAGAAAGAGGGAAUAGCCGUCUGAUUUUUAUAUUUUUAACGUUGGGUUUUGGAUGCCAGUAAUGGAAAUUACAUUGUUUUCACAAAAAGCAGGUGAGGGACAGUAAGGGACUGAAUGAUUGCCAGGCUCAUGUGGCUUGAAGGAGAAGAAGGCUUAAAGCUAGACACGGAGGAAGGUUUGUCAUGCUGCUGUAGGUUGCCGUUCACAUUUGUGGCAGGCUGUGGUGAGGUUAGCAAUGCAUUCCACAAUUGUCAGGAGCUAAGCAAAUGUUACGUCCUUUAGCCAGGGUGAAAAGCACACCUGCCCAGGAAGCUGGCGUAAAAAAUUUGGUACUGCCUCAACCCUGCUUCAGUGCUACAUGGAGAGUUUGAGUAGUGCUUAUGGCCUCAUAUCCUGCCACAUAUUUAAGUCUCUCUGAUCUUGAAAACCAGGGAGGUCCAAGGUCUGUAAUAUAUGCAGGAAAGCAGAUAAUGGAUCCCUUUUUGUUUGUCAUCACUGAAUGCUGUUUUGAUGGAUGUUUUGGUGCCAAGGCUUCUCUUAUUCUUAACCACCGAAGGAUAGCUAUUGCUGUACUCCCUGCAGUCCCUAGCUUAGCUCUGAGAAACAUAACAGGGUGAAACUGAAACAAAACAUGUAAGUUCUAGCCUGAAAGCUUACUUUAAACAGAAGCUGAGAAACAACAGCUUCUGUUAAGAGGAGCUGAGGAAUGAGUUAGUGAUUCUAAUCUAUGUCCUUUCCUAAAUGACCAAUAAAGUGAAUAAAUUACAUCCCCAAAUGCAAAUUUUUUUACUUAUAGGUCACCCAAGCCUGUAUUGCAGGUUUAUGAUAUUUCUCAUUGCCAAAAUUCCAAGCCAAAUUCUGUCUAGACAGUGGAGAUUAGUUCCUCACUACUCCAGUCUUUGAAACAGCCCCAAGGCUAGGAAGAACUUCUCUGUCGCUACCGUCUUGUUGGAAGUAGCAAUGUGUGGACAUAAACACAAUGAGAAAUUACUGAUGCAAAGACAAAUUAAGUAGUCAUAAUUGUUCUGGUUGAAGGUAUAUAGCAGAAGUGGUGUCAUUUCUUUGUGAAGUCAGUUUGUAUCAAGUGGUUUGUUGGUUGAGCGGAUGUAAUGGGGAUUUGCUUGUGGUCUUCCUUCCUAAUAACAUCUGCUAAUUAGGCUUAGCUUGACGAUCCUUUAGCAAAAUAGACAGAACUUCAGAAAAGGCACUCUUCUGGUACCCUGAACGACUAAAGUUCAGGAGCUGGAGCUGGAAAUACCCAACCAGCCUUUCUGUUUGGCUCACUGCAGUCCCUCUCUAAUGAGCUCUCCAUUUGUUCUGUGUGUUUCUGUAAUGCUUCUUCCAGCCUGCUACUAAAGUACUUCUAAUGGCAAUUUCUGUUUCUUCACUGCUUUCAAAGGAGUUGAUUCUUCAGUGUAUUAUGCUCGUUUCUGUCCAUUCACCUUUAAUACUAUCUACUUCAAUAGACUUAAACCAAAAUAAAAUACCGCUUGAAACGUUCAGGAUGUUGUUGUUGUUGUCUGUUGAAUGUAGCUCAUCACCAGCGCAGAAGACGCAAACAGCACAGCACAAAUGGAAAAGUUUAUUGCAAAACCAGAGGGAUGGCAAAGUAGUAUCCCUUUUUUCCCUGAAAAAGAAUGAGCGUCUUUGUUUCAACCGUUAGUCCAGCAAUUCCUACCAGCUCACUGUCUGCAAAUUUUGGUACUAUGUUGAUCAUCAUAGUCAUGUGAAAUUAUUUAGCAGGUAUUUUGUUGCCAAGGUCACAUGAAAUUAGUUAACAAAAACCUAAAAGUGAAUGUGCCAGUCAUCUCUCAUUGAAACACUGUUGGCUUCAAAGAACCUGCUGAGUUGUAAGAAUGAGCGGGAUUGGGCAUUUUCCCAAUAAUAAGAUGGCAAUAACAGGGAGCAAUGCUUGACUGUUGUAUGGUAAGUGAACAAUGCAUCCACGAAUUUUAUAUUUUUAUAUUCUUAGAUGCUUCAUGAUGACUUAGAUCUGUGGCUAGUUAUAAAUUACUUAGUACAGGGAAAUCACAUAGGUGGUCGGCAGCCAUGGCUAAGACUUUUGUUAAGUACCCCCAAAAACAGUAAAGGGAAAUUUAAAUCUUUCUGGGGAGGGAGGUGAAAAGAAAACUUUUGGGGAGUAAAGAAUAAUUUUAUUCAAAGCUUUGCAAUGGCUCUUCACUUCAAUCUAGUUCCACUCAGUGCACAGUUUCAUCUGUUACAAAGAAGCAGUACUACUGGAAGAUUCGCUCUUUCAUGAGGUAAAAGGGUCCAAAGAAAAAAAAAAGUUUUAGUGUUUUGAUACUGAACACCUGCAAUCUGAGCCCUGCUUUAGAAGCAGAGCUCCCUCACUGCUGAGUUACCAACUGUAGGUCUCCUCAUUGCUGUCUCUCUGGGCUCAUGGAUCAUGAUGAUGGGAUCAUGAAUUAUGAUAAAAUUCAGGUUGCAGGGUAACUGGAUCUCAACGAGAAGGGACAGUGUACUCCUUACUCAAGAGUGUCCUGUGACCUCUGGUUAGGCUCUCUCCUGGGAAGCAAGUGCCGUGGACUUGGGCUCUAUUAUCCUAGAAGGUCCACAAGCCAACUCUCCUACUUGAGCAAGUACCAUAACCUCCGGGUUACUACGUAGCUCACCUCUUCCCACUGUCUUCAAAUGAAGGUGGCUGUGGCUGCAGGUCUGAAUGCACUCUGCUUGUGUUGUGAGCGUACCCAAUGAAUCAAGCAAUUUAUGGCUGCAGUUCCCUUUUGUACAAAUCCCAAACAGCCCUAGGCAGGAAAACGGCUUCUGAAUGCUGAGCUCAGCCAAGGGAGUGGUUCUUGUGAGUAGAAGUAAUAACUGGAGGUACCCAUCCAGCCACAGGUGCAUGUAUGGAUUAAAUGCAGCUUUUCUGCAUCACUUGGAGUCAAAAUUGUGCAUUUAUUUGUCUUCUAGGAGUCUUUUUCAUUGCAAAGGAGGUUUGUCACUGAAUGUGUGAAUUGUUGUACUCAUUCGUUUUGUUUAGAUAUUAAACCACAAAAGUAUUUAUAAGACUUCUGAGGCCCAGAGUUCAUCUACGUGAAUAAGAAUGUUCUGUAUCAAUAAACAAGGGAUGAGGCCUUUCAAGAAAGAAGCAAGCCUGCUCUUGUCUUAAAGGAAAUUGCUCUUUGACUGCUCUGGCUGUUCUGCAUUCUUCAAAGGAGAUCACGCUGUGUCAGCUAAAUGAUUGAAAAAAUAGAUUUUUUACCAGACAGUGUAAAGUUGGACUCUCCAAAGUGUUUUAAACAAAGUUGAGACACCACAAAACUUCAAUUCAGUACGAAUUGUUCUUUGUGCUGCUUCCACUAAAGAAAAACAUAUGAAGUAUUUCCUUUGCUGAAUACAAAAAUUCUUCUCACUUUUGCUGCAAGAGAUUUGGGUUUAUUUCAAAGGCUUUACUUUUUAAACCAUAAGAAUUUCUUGCUAGACAUUGUGUAUGUGAGCCUGUGUAUACCUUUAUGAUUUUAAAAUAAAUAUAUGACAAUUUUAACCUUUUCAAAUUCCCCACAACAGCAUUCUACUUUAAUUCCUUUAACCCCACUCCCAAACCAGGCCGAUGAAAAGUCUUUCUUGACCUGAUAAGAACCCAAAUAAAGUUCUCCUUUACCUGAUUUCAUUAAAUCUGGGAGAAGGAUGGUUUGGAUUUCUCUUUGGUUUUUUUUCCCCGAUAGUAGUAAAAGAGGUAUUUGGUGACUCCUUACAUUGUCCAAGGUCACAUAGAGAAAAUGUUGCAGCAACAAACCUUUGAGUCCUAGUUCCACAAUAUAACCACUGUAUCACUGGAAGGGGAAAAGGGAAAACCCCCUGACAUUUGUUCUAAUAGAAGAAGAGUCUUGGCUAUCUAUUGACUCCAUUAUGAUAAACAAUGUAGGCAAGAGAGGACUUGUAACAGACCUUCUGGUUGCCUGCUCUUCUGAGCAAAGGUUUAGCCACAAAAAUUGGUGGGGAAAGGGAAAAGGUGAAUAUCUAUAUGAAAACCUGACUCUUCACAGCAGAUCAUUUUAGGUAACUCUUUUUAACAUCUCGAGGGAGUUUGAGAAUCGAACAAACAGAAACCAAAAACCAUUUCCUCUGACUUAGGAGAUUUGUUUCUCCCAUUGGAGAAAACUCCAGCUACAAAGAAGUCUGUGGCUGCCCUCCUGCAGUGCCCUCAUUAUAAAUAAAUGCUUAAAGCAGCUGCUGCUGCAAGUACCCUCAUGCCACUCCAGCAGGGAAUAAUCCUCCCAAGCAGUGCUCCAAGUCCACAGGAGCAUGGCAUGCUGCCGCUGUCUGAAUGAAUGACACGUCCAUCAGAGGCUUCCAGGCUGCGCUCUGACCACCAGUGUGGCCUCAGCCAGGUGGGCUGCUCUGCACAGAAGCAAGGUACGGCUGAGCAAAGCAGUGCCUCCGCAGUCCCGCCAGUGAUGCCCAGUGGGCUGGAUCUCCAUCGUCUUCUCCAAAGCCAGAACGUGCUCAGCUGUGAGAGGAAUACAGUUUAGAGCUGGGAGCCAUUGCCUCUCUGUGUACGAGGCAGCAGCUCCUGCUGAGGCUGGAAUAACACCCUCGUUUCCCCCCCCUCGCUACUUAGACUACUGGUUUCAAGCCACGAAUCAGGAAAAGGACAUUCUACCAAAAAGCAAAGAGUCUGUGUAUGUAACUUAUGAACACUGAAUUCCAGAAGUUCCCUCGGCUCAAAUCCUAGCUCCAGCAGUAAUGACAAGAAACUAGCACAGCCAAAACCAGAGCCUAAGGACCAGGAAAUGAGCUGAUCAGAUCUGCCAUGUCUGUUGUCCCCUGUUGUCCCCCUCAGGCAGCUAUUAAAUAUCAUUAGGCUGAAAUUCCCAGGGACAGGGCCUGAUUAACCUUUUUCUGGAAUAUACAGGUAUCUCGUAAGUGGAGUAUAAUGUAAUGCUGUUCAUUCUCACAGAACCUCCUGCACACUAGCUUCCUGAGUAUGCUGUGCCCUAUGAAUUAUUUACUCAACUUUACUGGUUACACUGGAGAAACUCUGCACCUUUUUUUUUAACCUAAUGCAAAGCAGUGGUUUUGUAUUUUUGCAUGUGCCGUAGUUGGCAAUGAUUAACAGCUUACGUGUCUCAGCAGUUUCUUUUUUCUUCCUCACAUUUUAAAUAAAAUGCAAUGGAAAUUCAA